GAUGAAGAACGUAGCGAAAUGCGAUAAGUAAUGUGAAUUGCAGAAUUCAGUGAACCAUCGAAUCUUUGAACGCACAUUGCGCCCCUUGGUAUCCCGAGGGGCAUGCCUGUUCGAGCGUCAUUUCACCACUCAAGCCUGGCUUGGUGUUGGGCGACGUCCCCUUUGGGGACGCGCCUCGAAACGCUCGGCGGCGUGGCACCGGCUUUAAGCGUAGCAGAAUCUUUCGCUUUGGAAGUCGGGGCCCCGUCUGCCGGAAGACCUACUCGCAAGGUUGACCUCGGAUCAGGCAGGGAUACCCGCUGAACUUAAGCAUAUCAAUAAGCGGAGGA
rnacentral:misc_RNA from 1 species